UACGUAGGGUGCGAGCGUUGUCCGGAAUUAUUGGGCGUAAAGAGCUCGUAGGCGGUGUGUCGCGUCGGCCGUGAAAACCUGCAGCUUAACUGUGGGCUUGCGGUCGAUACGGGCAUCACUGGAGUUCGGCAGGGGAGACUGGAAUUCCUGGUGUAGCGGUGAAAUGCGCAGAUAUCGGGAGGAACACCAAUGGCGAAGGCAGCUCGCUGGGACGGUACUGACGCUGAGGCGCGAAAGCGUGGGGAGCAACAGGG
rnacentral:rRNA from 1 species